UGAAUACGAGACGCUAAGGCGUCGAAGUAGUGUAUGUCAUACUUCCAAGAAAAGCUUGCACUGUCAUAGAUAAAAAACGCCUGUACCAUAACCGACACAGGUGGGUAGGUAGAGUAUACUAAGGGGCGCGAGAUAACUCUCUCUAAGGAACUCGGCAAAAUAACUCCGUAACUUCGGGAGAAGGAGUGCCUUAUUCGUAAGGUUGCAAUAACAAGAUCCAAGCAACUGUUUAUCAAAAACACAGGUCUCCGCUAAGUCGUAAGACGAUGUAUGGGAGCUGACGCCUGCCCAGUGCCAGAAGGUUAAAGAAGUUGGUUAGCAAUUGCGAAGCUGAUAACUGAAGCCCUGGUGAACGGCGGCCGUAACAAUAACGGUCCUAAGGUAGCGAAAUUCCUUGUCGGGUAAGUUCCGACCCGCACGAAAGGCGUAAUGAUUUGGAUACUGUCUCGGAGAGGGGCUCGGUGAAAUAGACUUGUCUGUGAAGAUGCGGACUACCUGCACCAGGACAGAAAGACCCUAUGAAGCUUUACUGUAACUUGAAAUUGAAAUUGGACUUUAUUCGCGCAGUAUAGGUGGGAGGCGUUGAUUAUAAUCUUGUGGGAUUAUUGGAGCCAUCAGUGAGAUACCACUCUUGUAAUGUUAGAUUUCUAACUUUGAAUCAUUAUCUGGUCAAAGAACAGUUUCAGGCGGGCAGUUUGACUGGGGCGGUCGCCUCCUAAACGGUAACGGAGGCGUACAAAGGUUUCCUCUGAACGGUUAGAAAUCGUAUCUAGAGUGUAAAGGCAUAAGGAAGCUUGACUGUGAGACCUACAAGUCGAGCAGGGACGAAAGUCGGUCUUAGUGAUCUGACGGUACUGAGUGGAAAGGCCGUCACUCAACGGAUAAAAGUUACUCUAGGAUAACAGGCUGAUCUCCCCCAAGAGUUCACAUCGACGGGGAGGUUUGGCACCUCGAUGUCGGCUCAUCGCAUCCUGGGGCGGUAGUACGUCCCAAGGGUUGGGCUGUUCGCCCAUGAAAGUAUACGCGAGCUGGGUUCAGAACGUCGUGAGACAGUUCGGUCCAUAUCCGGUGUAGGCGUUAGAAUAUUGAGAGGAGCCUUCUUUAGUACGAGAGGACCGAGAAGGACAUACCUCUGGUGUACCAGUUAUCGUGCCAACGGUAAACGCUGGGUAGCUAUGUAUGGAGUGGAUAACCGCUGAAAGCAUCUAAGUGGGAAGCCCACCUCAAGAUAAGUACUU
rnacentral:rRNA from 1 species